GGUUGACAUUACAUUUACAUUAGGAUAGAUUGCAUCAAUCAAGAAAACAACUGAGGUUAUUUGUGAUUUGCAAAUAAUUUUAUAGAUCUGUAUUUCUAUGAUUAAUGCCUGGAAAGAAAAAUAGAGACAAGGUUCGGAGACAGUUUUUUUGCUUAUAAGUGAGCAGUUUAUGAGCAGCUUUCUAGAGGAAUUUAAACACUAAUGUACUGUGUAUUUAUUAUUGGCCUCUUAGUGGAAGAAUUCAUGUUUUUGCAUCUUUAGAUGACCUGCUGUAAACUGACUGUGAAUUAAACACUAGUUAUACUUCUAGUUAAAUGACAUUCAUUUAUCAGUAUUAUACCAAAUAAACACUUGUCAUGUGACCUGCACCCCUGUAGUUAAGUGUCCACACCUGAUCUGAAUGAUCAGCUAAUGAAAACCUAAAACAGCAGAACUGUUGGGAAGUCUCAGGUGUGCAGCUAAAUGGAUCUUCAGCAGCAAAUGAGGCCACCCCUGGAGCCCAUCCAGGAAGAGUCAGAGCAGGAAGAAGAAAACCAGACAGUAGAACAAGAGGAUUUUCAAAGUCGAGCAGUUCUGGAGACAGAGGAGAUGAUGACAGAAGACGAGAGCGAUGAAGAAGAUGGUGCUUUCAUAUUCAGGAAAAUAUCUCGUUCCCUGAGCCAAGAGCGUUUCCCUCAAAUGCAAUCUACCAUCAAUCACUGGAAGGAAAUGACACAUUUCACUGCACCAGAUUCAGACCCAUAUACACUGGAUUUAAGUGAUGAUGCUGCGUCACCCAGGGCGCCAAGGUUGGAACAGAAGUGGUGCAGGGGUGGGAAAUUGAGAGGAAAGAGCCCUAAAAUCAGACACUACAAACCACUUCAGCCUCCAGUGAAGAAGAAGACAAAGAAGGAAAGACGCAAGAAGAAGUCGGUGGUUGAGCUAUUUCCUCGGUGGCUGGAGGACCUGAUGGUCAACGUGGAAGAGGCAACAACACAUCAACUGGUGGUUGAGUAACACAGUAACACUCGCUCAUCAUCCCCAACGUAUCACGAGGUGAACACGGUGGGCACAUCAAACAAUGACCUUGCUUGUGAAUACAGAAUGUAGAACAAACUUGUCAUGACUAACGUACAUGUAUUAAAGGUUAGUGCUGCCGGCUAAGCCCAUGCUGUCACCGUUUCCUGCACAUGGAAAACACUUGUCCCAUAUGUUUUUUUUUUGUCGUCACUUGUAUGUGUAAUAAAUCAAUUUAUUUCAUUCAGCUUGAACCCAUUUACCUUUUUCUAAGCCGGUGUUGUUUGAUUUGAAUGCUCUGUCUGCUAGCACAGUCACACAUGUGGUCAGUUGUGUAUUUAACUUUGACAGUGCUAUAGGGAAGAGGUCAUCUUUACUGGAAGCUUUAGAACUUGGUAUGUUGACAGUCCGACUUUACUGCGUUUUAUUGAAAUUACUACUUUUCAUUAAACGUGGCAAAAUACCACAUUUUAAUAUUUUGAGUGAAGUGUAAUGUCUCUGUAUUAACUGAGAACUAUCUUAGAAAAUGUCUUGCACAUCUCCUGUUUUAUCUUUUUAGACAUAAAAUCAAAUAUUUCUACAUGCAUGUUAAUCAGAUACUUUAGUAUCUAGAUCUUUUUUUACUUAAAAUAAUGUAAUGUGAAGAAAUGGUGUACACAAAAUAUUAG
ensembl:lncRNA